rnacentral:lncRNA from 1 species
UAAAGUCCACAUGGCGUCGUAGGAUGCAUGCUCCCAAAUCAAUUAAUUCUCCUAAUGAGAUUAGGAAUCCUAAUGUGAUUAGAAAAUUAAUCAAUUAAUUAAGUGGACACAUGUCAUGCAUCUAUGAGCACAAGGAUUGGACACUUGGCAAAUCCAAGGAUGGGUUAUAGUCCCAUACUCCUAAUAAGAUUAGGAGAAGCCCUAAACCCAAUCUAUAAAAGGGUAGCAAGAGAGACAU